rnacentral:rRNA from 1 species
AGUGAACGCUGGCGGUAGGCCUAACACAUGCAAGUCGAACGGCAGCACAGUAAGAGCUUGCUCUUACGGGUGGCGAGUGGCGGACGGGUGAGGAAUACAUCGGAAUCUACUUUUUCGUGGGGGAUAACGUAGGGAAACUUACGCUAAUACCGCAUACGACCUACGGGUGAAAGCAGGGGAUCUUCGGACCUUGCGCGAUUGAAUGAGCCGAUGUCGGAUUAGCUAGUUGGCGGGGUAAAGGCCCACCAAGGCGACGAUCCGUAGCUGGUCUGAGAGGAUGAUCGGCCACACUGGAACUGAGACACGGUCCAGACUCCUACGGGAGGCAGCAGUGGGGAAUACUGGACAAUGGGCGCAAGCCUGAUCCAGCCAUACCGCGUGGGUGAAGAAGGCCUUCGGGUUGUAAAGCCCUUUUGUUGGGAAAGAAAAGCAGCAGGUUAAUACCCCGCUGUUCUGACGGUACCCAAAGAAUAAGCACCGGCUAACUUCGUG